UACACAGCUCUGCAAGCAACCCUGACAGGUGACGAGGAACAGUAUAUCAGCAUAUUGUUGAAAACAAAAUAUCAACAGUUAGGCAAAAUUAAGUUUCACGAAGGGGUCGUUGGCACAAUAGUCAUCUUAACUGCAUUAUUUCAAGCGAUUAUAAGUUCAACGUACGCAAAUGAACGCAAGCAUUUAAAUAUUGUCCUAAAUUCUUCAACGCCAUCUUUAAUAAGUGCAUUGCUUUUAU